AUGGUGCUCAUGAAUGUCCUGGCUGAUGCUCUCAAAAGUAUCAACAUGCAGAAAAGAGAGGCAAACGCCAGGUUCUUAUUAGGUCAUGCUCCAAAGUCAUCAUCCAGCUUCUCAGUGUGAUGAUGAAGUGUGGUUACACUGGCAAAUUUGAAAUCACUGAUGAUCACAGAGCUGGAAAAAUUGUUGUGAACCUCACAGGCAGGCUAAACAAGUGUGGAGUGAUCAGCCCAGAUUUGAUGUGCAACUCAAAGGUCUAGAAAAACGGCAGAAUAAUCUGAUUCCAUUGUGCCAGUUUGGUUUCAUUAUACUGACAACCUCAGCUGGCAUCAUGGACCAUGAAGAAGCAAGACGAAAACACACAGGAGUGAAAAUCCUGGGAUUCUUUUUCUAG
rnacentral:lncRNA from 1 species